rnacentral:rRNA from 1 species
UACAGAGGGUGCGAGCGUUGUCCGGAAUCACUGGGCGUAAAGGGCGCGUAGGUGGCGACCCAAGUCGAUGGUGAAAGCUCGCCGCUCAACGGCGAGUCGGCCACCGAUACUGGGUUGCUGGAGCACUGUAGAGGCAGAUGGAAUUCCGGGUGUAGCGGUGGAAUGCGUAGAGAGUCCGGAAGAACGACCGGUGGCGAAGG